UAUUUGCUACUUUCUCCUCAAAGGAGUUGACAAAAUCAUCCGGGGAGAGGGUUGUGGGAGGUUGAGGAGUGGGAGGGUUUAGAAGAGAUGAGAAGAUGGUGAAGAGUUUGCGAGGGUCAGAUGCUGAUUCUUCCAGUUUCCUUUUGUAGAAAGAGGAUUUUGCAGCAGUUACCUCUGUUGAAAAUCGGGAUAGGAGAGAUUGGUAAGAGCAGAGGUCUGAGUAUUGUUGAGAUUUUUUCCACUUCCUCUCGGCUAGCCUUAGCUCUCUACGGUUGUUGCGUAGAACAUCCGACAGCCAUGGGGUGGCUGGAGAGGAUUUUGCUGGCCUUGAAGUAAGAGGAGAGAGAGUGUUGAUGGAAGAGGUGAUAGAUGAGAGGAAGGUGUUGGUAGCUGUUUCCAGAGGGAGGGAAGAGAAGGAGUCAGGAUUCGGAAGAGUGGUCAAGAUAGUUGAGGCAAGAGAGGAGGGAGAUAUAGCACGAAGAUUGCGAUGAGUAGUGGAAGUUGAAGAGGUUGUGUUUGUAGGAAGAGCAGGAAGAGAGAGAGUGAAGGAUAGGAAGUGAUGGUCAGAGAAAUCUAGAGGAGUCACAGUUAGAUCCAGAGCUGGAGCAGGUCUGCUAAAGACAAGGUCUAGAGUGUUUCCUGCUCUGUGAGUUGGAGCAGACAGAUUGAGGGAGAGAGAAAAAGAAGACAGAAGUGGAAGAAGACAGGAUGACUGUAGUUUCUCUGAGGGGAGGUUGAAGUCACCAAGGAGGAUAAGUGAGGAUUCAACCGGUAACCCACUCAGGAGAGUGUCCAGUUCAUCAAUGAAGUUGCCCAGUGGGCCAGGAGGACGAUAGAGAACAAUGAUAUGGAGUUUAACAGGAA